GUUCUUGAGAGAUAAUCUAGACAGAGGAAGGGAGAGAGGUGGUAGGCACGGUGGACGACCGACGGAGGGCAGCGGCUUACAACGCAGAAGACGGUCUUCAUCGUUUUCCUCCGUCACUUGAAACCAGAUCCGCCGGCUGUGGCUUCUAGAAGACAUACUGCCGACAGCAUCGGCGAACUGAGAUAGCGAUCCUUUGUCUUUGAGAUCAAAACGAUAUGAGAGAGAGGGAAAGAGGGCAGGGGCGGAGACAAGGCGGCGAUUAGGGUUCCGGCGCAAGCUAUUACUUCCAUCAAUCGAUUAUCCGAUCUAUGGUUGCAUGUCCCUUCAAUGGAUAGAUUGACUACUUGCACAGUCGUCGGAAUGAUCUUCUCUCUCCUCCAGUGUUGA
rnacentral:lncRNA from 1 species